rnacentral:rRNA from 1 species
UACGGAGGGUGCAAGCGUUGUCCGGAUUUAUUGGGUUUAAAGGGUGCGUAGGCGGCCCGUUAAGUCAGUGGUGAAAGCCUCCAGCUCAACUGGAGAACUGCCAUUGAUACUGACGGGCUUGAGUACAGACGAGGUAGGCGGAAUUGAUUGUGUAGCGGUGAAAUGCAUAGAUACAAUCAAGAACUCCGAUUGCGUAGGCAGCUUACUAGGCUGUAACUGACGCUGGAGGCACGAAAGCGUGGGGAGCGAACAGG